UGAAGAAAAAACCAGACGGACGGGCACGCUGCCGCUCCAGUACUCAGACAAGUACGAGGGUUCGAUGCUGCCGCUGCGUGGAGACGUGUACGGCACCCACCAUCGGCAGCUGCGCGGCCGCCCCCUCCAGCUGGAGGACGCAGGGAUGGCCGAAGAGCUGCCGUACCGGCGAGACAUGACCAGUCGCCACGAGCCGCCGAUGAGCGACGGCUACGCCACCACGCGGAGCGUCCGCAGGGUCUACCUGUAGGGGCCGCCCACAGAUGGCAGGCGCUUCGAGCCCGGGACUUUGCAAAUUUUAUAGUGGCUAACGUGUCAGGCCGUGCCUGAUGCUGCUGGACUUCUCAGUGGACUCUGGUGUGCUGCUGCUGAUUCGACAUGCCACCACACGAUGUGGCACGGACUCGGAUCCGCGGACCACCUGAGAGGAUGCUGAGCUCGCAACACCGACAGGUUGAGUGCAUGCGUCCGUAUGUGCAAGUGUGCGUGCGUGCCGUUUUCCUUCUUCAUUGAUCUCAGAGAUGCGGCAGGUUCGCCGACCACGCCGACCACAUCACUGUGGAAGUCGGUCCGCGAACGGCCGCGAGGCGACGUGUGUGGCAGCGCCGCCCAGCGGCCGGUUGGACAACUUCAAGUGCCAAGACGCACAACUAGGCGCCGUCGCCGAUAGUUUGUCGGUGGAUUAGAAGUGGACUGGUCUGUACGCGCUAGAGCGGAGUGUCCGUCUUUGCCCUGCAGUCGACGUUUCGUGUGUCAGCGCUCCCGUCUGCCCGAGCUCCAUACACAAAUCGAGUAUACUAUGUACAUACGUGGUGGGGGAGGGGGAGGGGCUGGGCGACUCGGCGCGCGCCACCGAUUCCGACGCACCCCCCGCCAUUCUUGACUCGAGGGAACGAUGUCUUAACAGCCCACAGUGGUGACAUAUCGGGUCGCCUUGGUGUAUUAUUAUGUACAUAAGCCGCUGAGCGGAUUUUUAUGCACUGCUUUUGCGUUCCCUUCGUGAGAUGGGAGGCUUGACAAUGUUUUCCUGUUCGCGAUAUGUUGUCGAAGUACAAAGUGGCCUAUGGAAACUGGUGACACCGCAAUCCUAGUAAUUUUUUAAUGACGUGUCCAUUUUGUUUUCAUUUAUUCCUUG